rnacentral:tRNA from 1 species
GGUUUAGUAAUCAAAAUGGAUGAUUUUAAAUUGCAAAUUUAAAUGUAGAUUAUUUCUCUAAACUU